UACGGGGGGGGCAAGCGUUGUUCGGAAUUACUGGGCGUAAAGGGCUCGUAGGUGGCCAACUAAGUCAGACGUGAAAUCCCUCGGCUUAACCGGGGAACUGCGUCUGAUACUGGAUGGCUUGAGUUUGGGAGAGGGAUGCGGAAUUCCAGGUGUAGCGGUGAAAUUCGUAGAUAUCGGGAGGAACACCAGUGGCGAAGGCGGCGAUCUGGGAAGAUACUGACGCUGAGGUGCGAAAGCGUGGGGAGCAAACAGG
rnacentral:rRNA from 1 species